GGCGGGGUAGCUCAGUUGGUUAGAGCAGAGGAAUCAUAAUCCUUGUGUCGGGGGUUCAAAUCCCUCCCUCGCUACCA
rnacentral:tRNA from 2 species